rnacentral:rRNA from 1 species
CGGGUGAGUAACACGUGGGCAACCUGCCUGUAAGACUGGGAUAACUUCGGGAAACCGAAGCUAAUACCGGAUAGGAUCUUCUCCUUCAUGGGAGAUGAUUGAAAGAUGGUUUCGGCUAUCACUUACAGAUGGGCCCGCGGUGCAUUAGCUAGUUGGUGAGGUAACGGCUCACCAAGGCAACGAUGCAUAGCCGACCUGAGAGGGUGAUCGGCCACACUGGGACUGAGACACGGCCCAGACUCCUACGGGAGGCAGCAGUAGGGAAUCUUCCGCAAUGGACGAAAGUCUGACGGAGCAACGCCGCGUGAGUGAUGAAGGCUUUCGGGUCGUAAAACUCUGUUGUUAGGGAAGAACAAGUACGAGAGUAACUGCUCGUACCUUGACGGUACCUAACCAGAAAGCCACGGCUAACUACGUGCCAGCAGCCGCGGUAAUACGUAGGUGGCAAGCGUUAUCCGGAAUUAUUGGGCGUAAAGCGCGCGCAGGCGGUUUCUUAAGUCUGAUGUGAAAGCCCACGGCUCAACCGUGGAGGGUCAUUGGAAACUGGGGAACUUGAGUGCAGAAGAGAAAAGCGGAAUUCCACGUGUAGCGGUGAAAUGCGUAGAGAUGUGGAGGAACACCAGUGGCGAAGGCGGCUUUUUGGUCUGUAACUGACGCUGAGGCGCGAAAGCGUGGGGAGCAAACAGGAUUAGAUACCCUG